GAGAAAUUCGGCGACGCAUUCAGGGCUCAGCCGGUAGAUGUGCUGAGAAUCUUCGGUAGACAACUGUCGAAGUACGGGGGACAAACUUUCAAGAUUUCCAGAAGUUAAGGAAAGAGAUGCAAAAGCAGAGAAAAGGCGACUUGUCUUUUCAGUGUUGCAUUACUGUGUGGCGUAAAGCAUCUUCUAAAAAGCUCCUGUGGCCGGGCGCGGUGGCUCACGUCUGUAAUCCCAGCACUUUGGGAGGCCGAAGCGGGCGAAUCACUUGAGAAAAGUUCUAGGAAGAAGCCCAGCCCAGAAAAACGAAAACCAAAAUGUUUGGAUCCAGAAAUGCCUGAGUGAAGAUGAACUUUGGUGAACUCCCCUUACAAUCCUGCUAAAAUCCCCGCCCAGGGAAGAGCUUAUUCACCAUUUUCUAUACAUGCAACGUAUGUAGAAGCAUGAUCAGCAAUUGUGUCUUCGCUGCCUUUACUCCACCUGUACAUACAAUGACUGAGCUAACCAGCCCAAUAAAAGCACUGUUUUCACUGUU
rnacentral:antisense_RNA from 1 species